CCUACGGGAGGCAGCAGUGGGGAAUAUUGCACAAUGGGGGAAACCCUGAUGCAGCGACGCCGCGUGAGUGAAGAAGUAAUUCGUUAUGUAAAGCUCUAUCAGCAGGGAAGAAAAUGACGGUACCUGAGUAAGAAGCCCCGGCUAACUACGUGCCAGCAGCCGCGGUAAUACGUAGGGGGCAAGCGUUAGCCGGAUUUACUGGGUGUAAAGGGAGCGUAGACGGCAGUGCAAGUCUGGAGUGAAAGGCGGGGGCUCAACCCCCGGACUGCUCUGGAAACUGUACGGCUGGAGUGCAGGAGAGGUAAGUGGAAUUCCUAGUGUAGCGGUGAAAUGCGUAGAUAUUAGGAGGAACACCGGCGGCGAAGGCGGCCUGCUGGACCGUAACUGACGUUGAGGCUCGAAAGCGUGGGGAGCAAACAGGAUUAGAUACCCCUGUAGUC
rnacentral:rRNA from 1 species